rnacentral:rRNA from 1 species
CGCGUAGGUGGGUUUGUAAGUCAGAUGUGAAAUUCCGAGGCUCAACUUCGGAGCUGCAUUUGAAACUGCAGACCUUGAGGGUAGACGGAGAAAGUAGAAUUCCACGUGUAGCGGUAAAAUGCGUAGAUAUGUGGAAGAAUACCUGUGGCGAAAGCGACUUUCUAGUUUAUUCCUGACACUGAGGCGCGAAAGCAAGGGGAGCAAACAGGAUUAGAUACCCUGGUAGUCC